GAUGAACGCUGGCGGCGUGCCUAAUACAUGCAAGUCGAGCGAACAGAUGAGGAGCUUGCUCCUCUGACGUUAGCGGCGGACGGGUGAGUAACACGUGGAUAACCUACCUAUAAGACUGGGAUAACUUCGGGAAACCGGAGCUAAUACCGGAUAAUAUAUUGAACCGCAUGGUUCAAUAGUGAAAGACGGUUUUGCUGUCACUUAUAGAUGGAUCCGCGCCGCAUUAGCUAGUUGGUAAGGUAACAGCUUACCAAGGCAACGAUGCGUAGCCGACCUGAGAGGGUGAUCGGCCACACUGGAACUGAGACACGGUCCAGACUCCUACGGGAGGCAGCAGUAGGGAAUCUUCCGCAAUGGGCGAAAGCUUGACGGAGCAACGCCGCGUGAGUGAUGAAGGUCUUCGGAUCGUAAAACUCUGUUAUUAGGGAAGAACAAAUGUGUAAGUAACUAUGCACGUCUUGACGGUACCUAAUCAGAAAGCCACGGCUAACUACGUG
rnacentral:rRNA from 1 species